GGAGAGAUGGCUCAGUGGUUAAGAGCACUGGCUGCUCUUCCAGAGGACCUGGGUUCAAUUCCCAACAUCCA
rnacentral:tRNA from 1 species